rnacentral:lncRNA from 1 species
UUACAUUUCUUUGAUGUGCAGAAAAGACUGGACCAUAACAAAGAUCAUUGGAUGACAAUCCAUGCUGAAUUGCCCCACGAGCUUUCUGCUUAAUGCUAUGCUUUCAAAAAAGAAUGUAUAAGUGGAAUUGGUAGUAUCUAGGCAGAGAAAGAGUACAAGAUACAAUUUGAUGGUUUCAUAGAAUGUAUGUUUCAACAGAAAAUGAUGAAACAUAAGUAUCAUCAAGAAGCAGCAGGCUGCGCUCAUAAAGGAAGGGAAGUAUACCCCUUCAUUGCCACAUGCGCAAGGA